GCAAACGUUGUCUUGCCGCUAAACGCUAUUUAAAAAUAGGGGUUAGUGGUGGAAGGGUGAAAAUUUAGGGUUGCAUGUAUUUUUACUGCCAAAUCAUAAUAAAAUAAAAA